rnacentral:other from 1 species
ACUACCCUGCUGUGUUCGUGACACCCGAUAAAGUUUUGAGCUAACACUUAUACUAUGGGAACCCGGACUUCAGCUGCGGCGCAGCAGCCUUUUCAAGGAGGACCUGCAAAACAGCUGAGAGGGUACCCACCUUUCGGGGGAACAGUUCAAAACAAACGGCCCACGGCAUGGCGGGGUUUUU